UGGGGAAUCUUGGACAAUGGGGGCAACCCUGAUCCAGCCAUGCCGCGUGAGUGAUGAAGGCCUUAGGGUCGUAAAGCUCUUUCGCCUGUGAAGAUAAUGACGGUAGCAGGUAAAGAAACCCCUGGCUAACUCCGUGCCAGCAGCCGCGGUAAUACGGAGGGGGUUAGCGUUGUUCGGAAUUACUGGGCGUAAAGCGCACGUAGGCGGACCAGAAAGUUGGGGGUGAAAUCCCGGGGGCUCAACCCCGGAACUGCCUCCAAAACUAUUGGUCUAGAGUUCGAGAGAGGUGAGUGGAAUUCCAAGUGUAGAGGUGAAAUUCGUAGAUAUUUGGAGGAACACCAGUGGCGAAGGCGGCUCACUGGCUCGAUACUGACGCUGAGGUGCGAAAGUGUGGGGAGCAAACAGGAUUAGAUACCCUGGGUAGUCCACACCGUAAAACGAUGAAUGCCAGUCGUCGGGUAGCAUGCUAUUCGGUGACACACCUAACGGAUUAAGCAUUCC
rnacentral:rRNA from 1 species